rnacentral:rRNA from 1 species
UACGAAGGUCCCAAGCGUUAUCCGGAUUUAUUGGGUUUAAAGGGUGCGUAGGCGGGUUAUUAAGUCAGUGGUGAAAGCUCCAUGCCUAACAUGGAAAAUGCCAUUGAUACUGAUAAUCUUGAGUACAUUUGAAGUGGGCGGAAUGUGUCAUGUAGCGGUGAAAUGCUUAGAUAUGACACAGAACACCGAUUGCGAAGGCAGCAGGCUAAACAAAGAUUGACGCUGAGGCUCGAAAGCGUGGGGAUCAAACAGG